GCUAUGUUAAGUCAUCUUGACAUACUGCCAUGAAAUGGAAACAACUGCUAGUUUUAACAUUGCUCUAUAUCUUUAUUAAAAGAGUCAUCAAUCUCUUCAGAGUCAUCUUGCCAUCUGUACCAGCAUUGCUCCAGGCUUCCAUAUGAAAGUCCAAUCUGGCAGUAUAAAUACUGGAUAAUGAAGAGUAGGUGUUAAAGUUUCUGACUGGUUGGAAUAUGACACUGGCAGAGUCUUUACUCUGCACACCACUGCUGACCCCAGAAAUGACCUACAGGAACUACUGGCGAAAGGAGUGAAAAG